UACGAGGGGGGCGAGCGUUGUUCGGAAUUAUUGGGCGUAAAGGGUGCGUAGGCGGUUUGGUAAGUCUUAUGUGAAAUCUACAGGCUCAACUUGUAGUCUGCAUGAGAAACUGCCGGGCUUGAGUAUGGGAGAGGUGAGUGGAAUUCCUGGUGUAGCGGUGAAAUGCGUAGAUAUCAGGAGGAACACCUGUGGCGAAGGCGGGUCUCUGGGCCGAUAUUGACGCUGAGGAGCGAAAGCGUGGGGAGCGAACAGG
rnacentral:rRNA from 1 species